rnacentral:rRNA from 1 species
UACGGGGGGGGCAAGCGUUGUUCGGAAUUACUGGGCGUAAAGGGCUCGUAGGUGGCCAACUAAGUCAGACGUGAAAUCCCUCAGCUUAACUGGGGAACUGCGUCUGAUACUGGGUGUCUUGAGUAUGGAAGAGGUGAGUGGAAUUCCGAGUGUAGAGGUGAAAUUCGUAGAUAUUCGGAGGAACACCAGUGGCGAAGGCGGCUCACUGGUCCAUUACUGACGCUGAGGUGCGAAAGCGUGGGGAGCAAACAGG